ACGAACGCUGGCGGCGUGCUUAACACAUGCAAGUCGAACGGAAAGGCCCUGCUUUUGUGGGGUGCUCGAGUGGCGAACGGGUGAGUAACACGUGAGUAACCUGCCCUUGACUUUGGGAUAACUUCAGGAAACUGGGGCUAAUACCGGAUAGGAGCUCCUGCUGCAUGGUGGGGGUUGGAAAGUUUCGGCGGUUGGGGAUGGACUCGCGGCGUAUCAGCUUGUUGGUGGGGUAGUGGCUUACCAAGGCUUUGACGGGUAGCCGGCCUGAGAGGGUGACCGGCCACAUUGGGACUGAGAUACGGCCCAGACUCCUACGGGAGGCAGCAGUGGGGAAUAUUGCACAAUGGGCGGAAGCCUGAUGCAGCAACGCCGCGUGCGGGAUGACGGCCUUCGGGUUGUAAACCGCUUUCGCCUGUGACGAAGCGUGAGUGACGGUAAUGGGUAAAGAAGCACCGGCUAACUACGUG
rnacentral:rRNA from 1 species